rnacentral:rRNA from 1 species
GAUGAACGCUGGCGGCGUGCCUCAAACAUGCAAGUCGAGCGGGGCUAUGUAAUAUCGCAAGGUAGAACAUAGCCUAGCGGCGAAACGGGUGAGUAACACGUGGGUAACCUGCCUGGAAGACAGGGAUAACGAUUCGAAAGGGUCGCUAAUACCUGAUAAUAUCCUUUCAUCGCAUGGUGAUAGGAAGAAAGGGGAAACCCGCUUUCAGAUGGGCCCGCGUCCCAUCAGCUAGUUGGUAAGGUAAAGGCUUACCAAGGCGACGACGGGUAGCCGGUCUGAGAGGAUGUACGGCCACACUGGGACUGAGAUACGGCCCAGACUCCUACGGGAGGCAGCAGUUGGGAAUCUUAGGCAAUGGACGAAAGUCUGACCUAGCGACGCCGCGUGAGGGAAGAAGGCCUUCGGGUUGUAAACCUCUGUCAGUGGGGGAAGAAGUAAGUGACGGUACCCCAAGAGGAAGCCCCUGCUAACUACGUGCCAGCAGCCGCGGUAAAGAGUAGUAACA